AGAGUUUGAUCCUGGCUCAGGAUGAACGCUGGCGGCGUGCCUAAUACAUGCAAGUCGAGCGAACGGACGAGAAGCUUGCUUCUCUGAUGUUAGCGGCGGACGGGUGAGUAACACGUGGAUAACCUACCUAUAAGACUGGGAUAACUUCGGGAAACCGGAGCUAAUACCGGAUAAUAUUUUGAACCGCAUGGUUCAAAAGUGAAAGACGGUCUUGCUGUCACUUAUAGAUGGAUCCGCGCUGCAUUAGCUAGUUGGUAAGGUAACGGCUUACCAAGGCAACGAUGCAUAGCCGACCUGAGAGGGUGAUCGGCCACACUGGAACUGAGACACGGUCCAGACUCCUACGGGAGGCAGCAGUAGGGAAUCUUCCGCAAUGGGCGAAAGCCUGACGGAGCAACGCCGCGUGAGUGAUGAAGGUCUUCGGAUCGUAAAACUCUGUUAUUAGGGAAGAACAUAUGUGUAAGUAACUGUGCACAUCUUGACGGUACCUAAUCAGAAAGCCACGGCUAACUACGUGCCAGCAGCCGCGGUAAUACGUAGGUGGCAAGCGUUAUCCGGAAUUAUUGGGCGUAAAGCGCGCGUAGGCGGUUUUUUAAGUCUGAUGUGAAAGCCCACGGCUCAACCGUGGAGGGUCAUUGGAAACUGGAAAACUUGAGUGCAGAAGAGGAAAGUGGAAUUCCAUGUGUAGCGGUGAAAUGCGCAGAGAUAUGGAGGAACACCAGUGGCGAAGGCGACUUUCUGGUCUGUAACUGACGCUGAUGUGCGAAAGCGUGGGGAUCAAACAGGAUUAGAUACCCUGGUAGUCCACGCCGUAAACGAUGAGUGCUAAGUGUUAGGGGGUUUCCGCCCCUUAGUGCUGCAGCUAACGCAUUAAGCACUCCGCCUGGGGAGUACGACCGCAAGGUUGAAACUCAAAGGAAUUGACGGGGACCCGCACAAGCGGUGGAGCAUGUGGUUUAAUUCGAAGCAACGCGAAGAACCUUACCAAAUCUUGACAUCCUUUGACAACUCUAGAGAUAGAGCUUUCCCCUUCGGGGGACAAAGUGACAGGUGGUGCAUGGUUGUCGUCAGCUC
rnacentral:rRNA from 1 species